rnacentral:sRNA from 1 species
GCUGAGUACCCAGGUGCUCAAUAGGGAAAUUACCCUAUGGCACUGGGGAGCCACGGAAGGGACUGAACAGAGCAGGAAUCUCAUCUUCACUUUUCCUCUUCUCCCCCAGUACAUCAUCCUGUGCUCGGAAAUCCCAAAGCUCCCCGCAGUCUCCUUCCUUCUUGGGGGGGUCUGGUUUAACCUCACGGCCCAUGAUUACGUCAUCCAGACUACUCGAAAUGGCGUCCGCCUCUGCUUGUCCGGUUUCCAGGCCCUGGAUGUCCCUCCGCCUACAGGGCCCUUCUGGAUCCUCGGUGACGUCUUCUUGGGGACGUAUGUGGCCGUCUUCGACCGCGGGGACAUGAAGAGCAGCGCCCGGGUGGGCCUGGCGCGCGCUCGCACUCGCGGAGCGGACCUGGGAUGGGGAGAGACUGCGCAGGCGCAGUUCCCCGGGUGACGCCCAAGUGAAGCGCAUGCGCAGCGGGUGGUCGCGGAGGUCCUGCUACCCAGUAAAAAUCCACUAUUUCCAUUG